UGUAUGUUUGAGGAGGAAGCAGACGUAGAGUAACAGCCAGUUGCUUGGAGAUUGGAAAUGCAUGAGCGCCGGAUCCUGAUAAUGCUGCAAGCGCUGAAGAAGAGUGGACCUCCGCUCCUGAAGAACCGACUACGGAACAGAAGCCAUUCUCCACCUCCCAACAUGAUUGCUCUAAGGGGCCAAGAGGGGAGAGGAGGAGAUGGAGGCAGAGGAAGAAAGGAGGAGAGAUGAAGAAGAAGAAUAUUUUAAUUCUCAAAAGAUUAUCUCAAUAAAGGAGAGAUAACCUUUUCUUUUUCUUUUAAACCUUUUUAAAUCUAUGACGCACUGUACCUUUUUAACCCUUGUAUGGUGUUCAUUUUUUUGUUACUCAGAAGGUGUUGUGGGAUUUUUGGGUGUUUAAUUCAACACAAUCAAACUAUUUUAUGGUAAAAUACUCAACAGAUAGGCUCUGUCCCAAUACUACCACUUCACCCUAGCACUUCGCCCUUCCCCUUCGUCUAUGCGUUUCGCAAAGGGGAAGUGUUGUUCAACCCUUCAAACAACCCCUUCAAACGGAGUGCUUCAUUCCAAUUAGAAGCAAUAUGAACAGCAAAUAUGGUUAAUAGUGGUAACUUUGUUAUAUCACAUUUGAAGAAGCCAUGAGAGGCAAUCAGACAAUCUUUAAGGCGCUAUAUAAAUAAAAUGAUUUGAAAUAA